CUCAAUUUUAGGAAAAGUAAUGACUGAAUGGAAGUUGGAAUAGAGUGAGGAAGGACUAGAGGCAGUUAAACCCUUGAAGGUGUGAGGUGAUGAGAGUCUGAACCAAAGAGGGGGCAGGGUCAAGAGAGAUGAUGCAAAGAUGAACUCAACCGACUUUGACAACAGCUUGGCCUUGGAGGAUGAGAAAGAGGGAAAAGUCCAACAUGGCUCCUAGACUGUAGGCCUCAGCCUUCUACAGUUAUAAGAAAGGCAAGAAAGAGGAGGAAGCCGAGAUCCUGAGAAGUUAAAUGAGGAACCACACUCUGGGCCCACAAGUGUUUUGUUGUUAGGUCUAAAAUGGCCAAGGCUGUGCAGGGAUCUUAAUGAAAGAUGGCAGGGUGUCCCUGAAGACCAGGAGGAGAAAAAAGACCAUGGCGGAAGAAAGCAUGAAGAAAUGUGAUACCCAUUAGAAAUAUCUCCAACAAAGCAGCAUGGAAGUUGGCAGGGACACUUCUGUGGCCUUCCAGGAAUAGUUUUCAGGCAAGCAAUCUGAUGUAGGUUAUAUGGAGCAGCAUUUCUUUAUUCAUCUAGGUAUUCUCACUUAGAUGGUUUUGUUCCCUGCUCCUUUGUUCUUCUGUUCAGUCCAUCAGCUCCAUGGAAGGCAAAUGAACUACCAUCUGGGUAGUUUAUGUAAGUAGCCUGUAAGUAUUAUAAAAAGCCUGUGAAUAACUAUGUAAGACCCUAAGGCUCUGAGGAUUGGUUCAACACAAGGCAAAUGCUCAAUAAAUGGUCCUCAAUCCUC